GAGGCAGCAGUGGGGAAUAUUGCACAAUGGGCGCAAGCCUGAUGCAGCCAUGCCGCGUGUAUGAAGAAGGCCCUAGGGUUGUAAAGUACUUUCAGUCGGGAGGAAGGCGUUGAUGCUAAUAUCAACAACGAUUGACGUUACCGACAGAAGAAGCACCGGCUAACUCCGUGCCAGCAGCCGCGGUAAUACGGAGGGUGCAAGCGUUAAUCGGAAUUACUGGGCGUAAAGCGCACGCAGGCGGUUGAUUAAGUUAGA
rnacentral:rRNA from 1 species